UACGUAGGGUGCAAGCGUUAAUCGGAAUUACUGGGCGUAAAGAGUGCGUAGGCGGCUAUGUAAGACAGAUGUGAAAUCCCUGGGCUUAACCUAGGAACUGCAUUUGUGACUGCAUGGCUAGAGUGUGGUAGAGGGAGAUGGAAUUCCGCAUGUAGCAGUGAAAUGCGUAGAUAUGCGGAGGAACACCAAUGGCGAAGGCAAUCCCCUGGGCCUGCACUGACGCUCAUGCACGAAAGCGUGGGGAGCAAACAGG
rnacentral:rRNA from 1 species